rnacentral:rRNA from 1 species
UACGUAGGGGGCUAGCGUUGUCCGGAAUCAUUGGGCGUAAAGCGCGUGUAGGCGGUCCGGUAAGUCCGCUGUGAAAACUCGAGGCUCAACCUCGAGACGUCGGUUGAAACCGUAUGGCUAGAGUCCGGAAGAGGAGAGUGGAAUUCCCGGUGUAGCAGUGAAAUGCGCAGAUAUCGGGAAGAACACCCGUGGCGAAGGCGGCUCUCUGGGACGGUACUGACGCUGAGACGCGAAAGCGUGGGGAGCGAACAGG